GACGAACGCUGGCGGCGUGCUUAACACAUGCAAGUCGAGCGAUGAAGCUCCUUCGGGAGUGGAUUAGCGGCGGACGGGUGAGUAACACGUGGGCAACCUGCCUUAUAGAGAGGAAUAGCCAUCCGAAAGGAUGAUUAAUACCUCAUAAUAUUGUAGCUUCGCAUGGAGCAACAAUCAAAGGAGCAAUCCACUAUAAGAUGGGCCCGCGGCGCAUUAGCUAGUUGGUGAGGUAACGGCUCACCAAGGCGACGAUGCGUAGCCGACCUGAGAGGGUGAUCGGCCACAUUGGGACUGAGACACGGCCCAGACUCCUACGGGAGGCAGCAGUGGGGAAUAUUGCACAAUGGGGGAAACCCUGAUGCAGCAACGCCGCGUGAGUGAUGACGGCCUUCGGGUUGUAAAGCUCUGUCUUCAGGGACGAUAAUGACGGUACCUGAGUAGGAAGCCACGGCUAACUACGUGCCAGCAGCCGCAGUAA
rnacentral:rRNA from 1 species